UAGAGUUUGAUCCUGGCUCAGGAUGAACGCUGGCGGCGUGCCUAAUACAUGCAAGUCGAGCGAACUGAUUAGAAGCUUGCUUCUAUGACGUUAGCGGCGGACGGGUGAGUAACACGUGGGCAACCUGCCUGUAAGACUGGGAUAACUUCGGGAAACCGAAGCUAAUACCGGAUAGGAUCUUCUCCUUCAUGGGAGAUGAUUGAAAGAUGGUUUCGGCUAUCACUUACAGAUGGGCCCGCGGUGCAUUAGCUAGUUGGUGAGGUAACGGCUCACCAAGGCAACGAUGCAUAGCCGACCUGAUGAGGGUGAUCGGCCACACUGGGACUGAGACACGGCCCAGACUCCUACGGGAGGCAGCAGUAGGGAAUCUUCCGCAAUGGACGAAAGUCUGACGGAGCAACGCCGCGUGAGUGAUGAAGGCUUUCGGGUCGUAAAACUCUGUUGUUAGGGAAGAACAAGUACGAGAGUAACUGCUCGUACCUUGACGGUACCUAACCAGAAAGCCACGGCUAACUACGUGCCAGCAGCCGCGGUAAUACGUAGGUGGCAAGCGUUAUCCGGAAUUAUUGGGCGUAAAGCGCGCGCAGGCGGUUUCUUAAGUCUGAUGUGAAAGCCCACGGCUCAACCGUGGAGGGUCAUUGGAAACUGGGGAACUUGAGUGCAGAAGAGAAAAGCGGAAUUCCACGUGUAGCGGUGAAAUGCGUAGAGAUGUGGAGGAACACCAGUGGCGAAGGCGGCUUUUUGGUCUGUAACUGACGCUGAGGCGCGAAAGCGUGGGGAGCAA
rnacentral:rRNA from 1 species